rnacentral:rRNA from 1 species
GACGAACGCUGGCGGCGUGCUUAACACAUGCAAGUCGAACGGAAAGGCCCUGCUUUUGUGGGGUGCUCGAGUGGCGAACGGGUGAGUAACACGUGAGUAACCUGCCCUUGACUUUGGGAUAACUUCAGGAAACUGGGGCUAAUACCGGAUAGGAGCUCCUGCUGCAUGGUGGGGGUUGGAAAGUUUCGGCGGUUGGGGAUGGACUCGCGGCUUAUCAGCUUGUUGGUGGGGUAGUGGCUUACCAAGGCUUUGACGGGUAGCCGGCCUGAGAGGGUGACCGGCCAAAUGGGGAAGGGAAAACGGCCCAAACCCCAAGGGGGGGCAGAGGGGGGGAAUAUGGAAAAAGGGGGGGAAGCCGGAUGGAGAAACCCCGGGGGGGGGAUGACGGCCUUGGGGUUGUAAACCGCUUUCGCCUGGGACGAAGGGGGAGUGACGGUAAUGGGGAAAGAAGCACCGGCUAACUACGU